AGCCAGGCUAAAAACAGCAGCCACUGUCAGAGGAUAGAAGAAAUCAACAGUAAAUUAGAUUAGCAAACUGCCCUUAGCAGAAGGAUUGCAAAAGAAACCUUUAAUUGCUGCACCUAUUUCUUGUUAAUAGAAUUAAUAAUUCUGUAGGAAAUGAACCCAAAAAGGAUUUGAAGGAGAGAAAAUAAAGGUAGAACAAUGUCAGAAACUUCUCAACCUCAAUUCCCAUACUAAAAACGAAAAAAUGCAAAUAAUUGUACCAUUUUAAAUUUGAAAUUAAAGAAGCACAGAAAAAGCAAGCUGAAAGGCAAAUGCCACCUUUAGAAACACAUUCUCAUUUGAGCUUUAACCUAAAUAAGUAUACCAAGUCUACUGACAUCAUUUCAAUUUUUUCCCUAGAUAUUUAACAUAAUUAACCAUACAUCAUAGCUACAUCCAAUCUUAAACUAUAAAUACUGGUUGCACAAAUAUUUAUCUCACAGUGGUAGUGAGACUAAAUUCAUUAAAAAAAAAUAAAUAAGGGAUUAAUGACUAGGGGUGUAAAUGAAUUAAACUAUUCAUGAGAUGCUUGAGGCUCAGCUCGAUAAAAGCUCGGCUUAGUACGGCUCAUUUUCUAAACGGGCUAAGCUCAAGCUCAAAUUUUAGACUCGUUUGAUAAAUGAGAGCUUAUAAGCUUAGGAGCUAGCUCGCUAAAUAGGCUCGAAUUUUUAUUUAUGGUGUUGUUUAUUGCGUUCUAAAAAUUAUUGUGAUUUGGAAAUAGGCAUUGUAAAAGUCUUAAGUCGAGCUCAAGCUUAACAUAAAUGCUUAAAACAAACCAACCUCGAACUGAACUCGAAUUUAAUAAAUUUUAAAUAAGCCGAGCUCGAGCUUUGAUAUUAAAGCUUGAAUAGAGCUCAAGCCGAGCUCGAGCUUUAUAUAUUUUUGACGAGCUGAGUCUUAGCUAGUCAAAGCUCAGCUUGGCUUGCUUACACCCCUACUCAUGACAAGAUAUCAUAAAAAUUGAAGUGCAAGGAAAAGAAAAGACACCAUAAUUAAAAUGAAUAAAAUUACUCACCGAGCUUUUG
rnacentral:misc_RNA from 1 species